GCCAGGUGUGGUGGCACGUGCCUGUAGUCCCAGCUACUUGGGAGGCUGAGCCAGGAGGAUUGCUUGAGCCCAGGAGUUUGAGGCUACAGUGAGCUGUGAUUGAGCCACUGCACUCUAGCCUGGGCAACAGAGCAAGACUCUAUUUCUA
rnacentral:SRP_RNA from 1 species